rnacentral:rRNA from 1 species
GAGUUUGAUCAUGGCUCAGAAUGAACGUUGGCGGCGUGGAUUAGGCAUGCAAGUCGAACGGGCCUGAUAGCAAUAUCAGGUCAGUGGCGUAAGGGUGAGUAAGGCGACGGCAACCAACCCCAUGGUUGGGCAUAGCCGCGGGAAACUGCGGGUAAUUCCCAGCGAAGUUCAUACCGGGCAUCCGGUGUGAACCAAAGUUCUGGCGCCGUGGGACGGGCCGUCGUGGUAUUAGGUAGUUGGCGGGGUAAUGGCCCACCAAGCCUCUGAUGCCUACCGGGCGUGCGAGCGUGGCCCGGCACACUGGGACUGAGACACUGCCCAGACUCCUACGGGAGGCUGCAGUCGAGAAUCUUCGGCAAUGGGCGCAAGCCUGACCGAGCGACGCCGCGUGGAGGAUGAAGGCCUUCGGGUUGUAAACUCCUGUCGAGGGGGAGGAAGGGGUAACCUUGACCUAUCCCUGGAGGAAGCACGGGCUAAGUUCGUGCCAGCAGCCGCGGUAAGACGAACCGUGCGAACGUUAUUCGGAAUCACUGGGCUUAAAGCGCGUGUAGGCGGAUGGGGACGUCGGUAGCUGAAAUCCCCCGGCUCAACCGG